GCCACGCCCGCUCAAGAACUACAAAGGAAUUGACGGACCCCGCACAAGCGGUGGAUCAUGUUGUUUAAUUCGAUGAUACGCGAAGAACCUUACCAGGUCUUGACAUCCCCCGCGAUGCUUUAGAGAUAAAGCGGAGGUAUUCGGGGAGACAGGUGGUGCAUGGUUGUCGUCAGCUCGUGUCGUGAGAUGUUGGGCUAAGUCCCGCAACGAGCGCAACCCCUAUUGCUAGUUACCAUCAUUAAGUUGGGGACUCUAGCGAGACUGCCAGUGAUAAACUGGAGGAAGGUGGGGAUGACGUCAAAUCAUCAUGCCCCUUAUGACCUGGGCUACAAACGUGAUACAAUGGCUGGAACAAAGGGAUGCGAAGCAGUGAUGUGGAGCGAAACCCAUAAAAACAGUCUCAGUUCGGAUUGAAGUCUGCAACUCGACUUCAUGAAGUCGGAAUCGCUAGUAAUCGCGGAUCAGAACGCCGCGGUGAAUACGUUCUCGGGGUUC
rnacentral:rRNA from 1 species